rnacentral:rRNA from 1 species
UACGUAGGGUGCGAGCGUUGUCCGGAAUACUGGGCGUAAAGCGUGCGCAGGCGGUGAUGUAAGACAGAUGUGAAAUCCCCCGAGCUCAACCUGGGAACUGCAUUUGUGACUGCAUCGCUGAAGUGCGGCAGAGGGGGAUGGAAUUCCGCGUGUAGCAGUGAAAUGCGUAGAUAUCAGGAGGAAACACCUGUGGCGAAAGCGGCUCACUGGACCAAUACUGACGCUGAUGCACGAAAAGCUAGGGGAGCAAACAGG